CCUACGGGAGGCAGCAGUGGGGAAUAUUGGGCAAUGGGCGCAAGCCUGACCCAGCAACGCCGCGUGAAGGAAGAAGGCUUUCGGGUUGUAAACUUCUUUUCUCAGGGACGAAGAAAGUGACGGUACCUGAGGAAUAAGCCACGGCUAACUACGUGCCAGCAGCCGCGGUAAUACGUGGUUGGCAAGCGUUAUCCGGAUUUAUUGGGUGUAAAGGGCGUGUAGGCGGGGGCGCAAGUCAGAUGUGAAAACUCAGGGAGCAAACCUGAGCCUGGAUUUGAAACUGUGUGUCUUGAGUGCUUGAGAGGCAAUCGGAAUUCCGGGUGUAGCGGUGAAAUGCGUAGAUAGACGGAGGAACACCAGUGGCGAAGGCGGAUUGCUGGACAGUAACUGACGCUGAGGCGCGAAAGCGUGGGGAGCAAACAGGAUUAGAUACCCGGGUAGUC
rnacentral:rRNA from 1 species